rnacentral:rRNA from 1 species
UACGUAGGGGGCAAGCGUUGUCCGGAUUUAUUGGGCGUAAAAGGCUUGUAGGUGGCCACGCCAAGUCGGAUGUGAAAUCUCCCGGCUCAACUGGGAGGGGUCAUUCGAUACUGGUGGGCUCGAGGCCGGUAGGGGGAAGCGGAAUUCCCGGUGUAGUGGUGGAAUGCGUAGAUAUCGGGAGGAACACCCGUAGCGAAGGCGGCACUCUGGGCCGGAACUGACGCUGAGGAGCGAAAGCCAGGGGAGCGAACGGG